ensembl:ncRNA T23F11.9 ncRNA
CGGCCUCGGCAGUGCCUGGUAACCCGACGCGAACGCGUUUGAGGGAUAGCCCACACAGCCAGUCUCUCCCUCUCUCUCUCAAAUUUCUCCAUCUAUCUCUCUCUCUCUCUCGUUCACCAUAUCUCUCUCGCGGUUUUUUGCCCAUAUUCACCCCUUCUUCCCCUAACUCCACUCAUCUCUCCCUCCACUAGUCACUUGUUUUGCAAAAGUGGAGGACGAGAAAAGAGAAGUGGUGUGUGUUGGGGUGUCUGUGUUGGGGUGGGGUAGUUAUUGGGCCACCGAGAGAGGGAAAGAUGAUGAUGAGAACAUUCUCUCCAUCUCCACCUCUCUCUUUUCUUUCAUAGACCAUGGUAACGGACGGA